rnacentral:rRNA from 1 species
GAUGAACGCUAGCGGCAGGCCUAACACAUGCAAGUCGAGGGGUAACUAGAGUGAUAGCAAUAUUACUUUGGCUAGACCGGCGCACGGGUGCGUAACACGUAUGCAACCUACCUUAUACUGGGGAAUAACUUUGAGAAAUCGGCGCUAAUACCCCAUAACAUUGCGAAGAGGCAUCUCUUUGCAAUUAAAGCUCCGGCGGUAUAAGAUGGGCAUGCGUCCAAUUAGCUAGUUGGGGAGGUAACGGCUCACCAAGGCUACGAUUGGUAGGGGUUCUGAGAGGAUGAUCCCCCACACUGGUACUGAGACACGGACCAGACUCCUACGGGAGGCAGCAGUGAGGAAUAUUGCGCAAUGGACGAAAGUCUGACGCAGCCAUGCCGCGUGCAGGAUGACGGCCCUAUGGGUUGUAAACUGCUUUUGUACGGGAAUAAACCCUUCUACGUGUAGGAGGCUGAAGGUACCGUAAGAAUAAGCACCGGCUAACUCCGUGCCAGCAGCCGCAGUAA